rnacentral:rRNA from 1 species
AGUGAACGCUGGCGGUAGGCCUAACACAUGCAAGUCGAACGGCAGCACAGUAAGCGCUUGCUCUUACGGGUGGCGAGUGGCGGACGGGUGAGGUAUACAUCGGACUCUACUUUUUCGUGGGGGAUAACGUAGGGAAACUUACGCUAAUACCGCAUACGACCUACGGGUGAAAGCAGGGGAUCUUCGGACCUUGCGCGAUUGUAUUACCCGAUGUCGGAUUAGCUAGUUGGCGGGGUAAAGGCCCACCAAGGCGACGAUCCGUAGCUGGUCUGAGAGGAUGAUCAGCCACACUGGAACUGAGACACGGUCCAGACUCCUACGGGAGGCAGCAGUGGGGAAUAUUGGACAAUGGGCGCAAGCCUGAUCCAGCCAUACCGCGUGGGUGAAGAAGGCCUUCGGGUUGUAAAGCCCUUUUGUUGGGAAAGAAAAGCAGCAGGUUAAUACCCCGCUGUUCUGACGGUACCCAAAGAAUAAGCACCGGCUAACUUCGUG